AUGCGUGGGCUUUCUUGUUUUACCAAAUGACGCCAUUUUUUAACAUUAAAACUAAAAGAAAUUGGAUGGCAAUCUACCAUUUUCUUUAAACAAUCAAAGAAAAUCCCUAAUUUUCCCCUUCUUUAACCGAUUCUCAAAGACCAAACCCUAGCCACUUCAAAAACAAAGGAAAUUCCCACUUUCACUAUUCGGCUGAUUAACACUCUAAAAUCCCCAUCUCAGGCUUUGAUUUCGACGAAGGAGAUAAGGAAUUCGAUGGCUCGUUUUCGAAGGUGUGGAGAAACGGCAGUACGGAAGAAGCCGCUCGUGGAAGCUGUGCGUGGGAACUACUCAUGGGAUCGAUCUGUUGCUGCUCUAGCACAUUCCAGAAACCCCUAGAGUUUUUGGUGUUUUCACAUUAUUGGGCUCCUUUGGGCCGUUUAUUAAUUGGGUGUAAUGGGUUUUGUUGGGCCAGGGAUUAAGGUUGGGUUUGGGUUGUUUGGGUUAGGUUUAAUUUAGGUUUAUUUGGACUUGUUUAAUAGAGCAUAAAUUUGGACUUUGGGCUUUA